rnacentral:piRNA from 1 species
UGCUGCAAGUGAAGGUCCAUGGAAGA